UCAGCCACACUGGGACUGAGACACGGCCCAGACUNCUACGGNAGGCAGCGUGGNGAAUAUUGGACAAUGGGGGCAACCCUGAUCCAGCAAUUCCGNGGUGUGAAGAAGGCNUGCGGGUUGUAAAGCACUUUCAGUAGCCAAGAUGGGAUUAUUGCUAAUAUCGGAUAAUCUUGACAUUAACUANAGAAGAA
rnacentral:rRNA from 1 species